AGUGAGCGCUGGCGGUAGGCCUAACACAUGCAAGUCGAACGGCAGCACAGUAAGAGCUUGCUCUUACGGGUGGCGAGUGGCGGACGGGUGAGGAAUACAUCGGAAUCUACUUUUUCGUGGGGGAUAACGUAGGGAAACUUACGCUAAUACCGCAUACGACCUACGGGUGAAAGCAGGGGAUCUUCGGACCUUGCGCGAUUGAAUGAGCCGAUGUCGGCUUAGCUAGUUGGCGGGGUAAAGGCCCACCAAGGCGACGAUCCGUAGCUGGUCUGAGAGGAUGAUCAGCCACACUGGAACUGAGACACGGUCCAGACUCCUACGGGAGGCAGCAGUGGGGAAUAUUGGACAAUGGGCGCAAGCCUGAUCCAGCCAUACCGCGUGGGUGAAGAAGGCCUUCGGGUUGUAAAGCCCUUUUGUUGGGAAAGAAAAGGAGCAGGUUAAUACCCCGCUGUUCUGACGGUACCCAAAGAAUAAGCACCGGCUAACUUCGUG
rnacentral:rRNA from 1 species